GCGUGCUAAUACAUGCAAGUCGAGCGAACGGACGAGAAGCUUGCUUCUCUGAUGUUAGCGGCGGACGGGUGAGUAACACGUGGAUAACCUACCUAUAAGACUGGGAUAACUUCGGGAAACCGGAGCUAAUACCGGAUAAUAUUUUGAACCGCAUGGUUCAAAAGUGAAAGACGGUCUUGCUGUCACUUAUAGAUGGAUCCGCGCUGCAUUAGCUAGUUGGUAAGGUAACGGCUUACCAAGGCAACGAUGCAUAGCCGACCUGAGAGGGUGAUCGGCCACACUGGAACUGAGACACGGUCCAGACUCCUACGGGAGGCAGCAGUAGGGAAUCUUCCGCAAUGGGCGAAAGCCUGACGGAGCAACGCCGCGUGAGUGAUGAAGGUCUUCGGAUCGUAAAACUCUGUUAUUAGGGAAGAACAUAUGUGUAAGUAACUGUGCACAUCUUGACGGUACCUAAUCAGAAAGCCACGGCUAACUACGUGCCAGCAGCCGCGGUAAUACGUAGGUGGCAAGCGUUAUCCGGAAUUAUUGGGCGUAAAGCGCGCGUAGGCGGUUUUUUAAGUCUGAUGUGAAAGCCCACGGCUCAACCGUGGAGGGUCAUUGGAAACUGGAAAACUUGAGUGCAGAAGAGGAAAGUGGAAUUCCAUGUGUAGCGGUGAAAUGCGCAGAGAUAUGGAGGAACACCAGUGGCGAAGGCGAC
rnacentral:rRNA from 1 species